rnacentral:rRNA from 1 species
UACGUAGGGUGCGAGCGUUGUCCGGAAUUACUGGGCGUAAAGAGCUCGUAGGUGGUUUGUCGCGUUGUUCGUGAAAACCGGGGGCUUAACCCUCGGCGUGCGGGCGAUACGGGCAGACUUGAGUACUGCAGGGGAGACUGGAAUUCCUGGUGUAGCGGUGGAAUGCGCAGAUAUCAGGAGGAACACCGGUGGCGAAGGCGGGUCUCUGGGCAGUAACUGACGCUGAGGAGCGAAAGCGUGGGGAGCGAACAAG